CUUGAACCCAAGAGGUGGAGGCUGCAGUGAGCCAAGAUUGAGCCAUGGCACUCCAGCCUGGGGACAAGAGAGACUUCGUCUCAAAAAAAAAAAAAAACAAAAAAACAUACUUUUUGAAAAUUAGUGGUCUGUAAUUGUAAUCUUGCAGUAGUUGUUUAUUGAAUACUAGCAUAAGUAAGGAUUGAAUGGGAUAGUAAAGGUUGUCUUUGCCCUUGAGGAACUCAGGCUCAUUGAGGGGGGUACCGUUCCUUGAAUGUUUCCUUUUUUUCUGCAGCAAAUACACACAUUCAAAACAUCUACUGCACACAAGCAAACUCAGAGAGGACCAGCCUGGCUGAGAGGAGUUGACCAUCCCCCUCAGGACUGACUUCCUUUCCUUCAACAUUAUUAUAUAAUUAAAGUCCUAGACUAUAUAGAAGUGACAGGUAUGCUCUCUAUGCAUUUAUUAUUAUGGGAGGUGUUUUACUUGGAAGCAGUACUUUCUCCAUGUUAAGUGCUUUGAGCUCUGAAGGGC
rnacentral:lncRNA from 1 species